GGGAGCUGGGCACCCCAAAAGGAGCUGGGCACCCAAAGUGAGGCGUCUGCGGGGUUUUCUUAUCGCCACUGAAAGAGGGUUUGUUUGUUCACCCCCAGGGGCUGCAGGGCUGGAUUUUAGGAAUGGGGAUCCUCUGCCUGCGAAGGUGCCCGCUUUCUCCAGCGGGCAGCGAAAUCCUCGCACCACAACACCCGAGAAUUGCCUUUUUGGUCCUGCACGGGUGGAAGCCUUGGGAGCAGCCGCUGCAUUCAGCUCUCCAAGGACUCUCCGACUGACCCCACCCCAGCCUGCCUUGUUUUGCUUCUGUGGAGAGAGAAAUACUUAAUGCGUCAAUUACUUCUGUAA